AAUCAACGCUGGCGGCGUGCCUAACACAUGCAAGUCGAACGAGAAAGGGUAGCAAUACCUGAGUAAAGUGGCGCACGGGUGAGUAACACGUGACUAACCUACCCUGGAGUGGGGGAUAACUGAGGGAAACCUUAGCUAAUACCGCAUAACACCUACGGGUCAAAGGAGCAAUUCGCUUUGGGAGGGGGUCGCGGCCGAUUAGUUAGUUGGCGGGGUAAUGGCCCACCAAGACUGUGAUCGGUAUCCGGCCUGAGAGGGCGCACGGACACACUGGAACUGAAACACGGUCCAGACUCCUACGGGAGGCAGCAGUGGGGAAUUUUGCGCAAUGGGGGAAACCCUGACGCAGCAACGCCGCGUGGAGGAUGAAGUACUUCGGUACGUAAACUCCUUUCGAUCGGGACGAUAAUGACGGUACCGAGAGAAGAAGCCCCGGCUAACUUCGUGCCAGCAGCCGCGGUAAUACGAGGGGGGCGAGCGUUGUUCGGAAUUAUUGGGCGUAAAGGGUGCGUAGGCGGUUUGGUAAGUCUGAUGUGAAAUCUAUGGGCUCAACUCAUAGUCUGCAUCGGAAACUGCCG
rnacentral:rRNA from 1 species